rnacentral:rRNA from 1 species
UACGUAGGGUGCGAGCGUUGUCCGGAAUUAUUGGGCGUAAAGGGCUCGUAAGCGGUUUGUCGCGUCGGGAGUGAAAUCCACUGGCUUAACUGGUGGCUUGCUUUCGAUACGGGCAGACUGGAGGUAUGCAGGGGAGAACGGAAUUCCUGGUGUAGCGGUGAAAUGCGCAGAUAUCGGGAAGAACACCCGUGGCGAAGGCGGUUCUCUGGGACGGUACUGACGCUGAGACGCGAAAGCGUGGGGAGCGAACAGG